UACGUAGGUGACAAAUGUUAUCCGGAAUCACUGGGCGUAAAGGGUCUGUAGGCGGUUACUUAGGUCUGAUGUGACAACUCUCGGCUUAACUGAGAGAGCGCAUUGGAAACCGGGUGACUAGAAUCACGUCGAGGUCGGUGGAAUUCCCGGUGUAGUGGUGGAAUGCGUAGAGAUCGGGAGGAACCUCGAAAGCGAAGGCAGCCGGCUAGACGAUGAUUGACGCUGAGGGACGAUAGCGUGGGUAGCAAACAGG
rnacentral:rRNA from 1 species